GCUCCAACAGGUCCGUGUCUCUCCAGUACUGAGGACUCCACUUCUGGACACAGUACUCCAGAGACCCAAUUGUGUGGGAGGGGACGACACAACCCAGCAGCAGGGCUCGCGGGAAAGCUGUGGUGUGCCCCAAGUGCAAGAGUAUCUGUGCUGGCUGCAUGUGCACAAAGGGCUGCAUUUGCAUAAAACCAGCGCCAAGCCGGAGUGAAAACAAUGGGAGAGUGUGUAGGUAGGCACCUACCCAGCACCCGGGUCUGCCUGCUGGAGAGGGUUUGGUUUCACGGCAGGAGCACAAAUAAAGAACGACGCUAAAUAAUUAAAGCUUGGCAUUGUGAGCUGAGUAUUGUUAAUGGGAGGGUGUUUUUUAGUGCAUAAUGAGCAAAGCCUAUUUUGCAAAAAUUUUAGACGUUUUCCUAAGUGAAAACAGAAGAUCUCUGAGCAUUUGCAAAACUUACGUUACCCCAGAAAAAAAAAUACAUAACGACGCCGAGCCCAUCGGCUUA